CACUUAAAGACUUAGAGCGCCAUAUGUGGCCUUGAGGCCAUAGGUUCUCCACCCCUGGACUAGACAUUUAAAAGGUCUGUCAAUUUUAAAACUCCAGCUCUAUAUAUAGCAGGGGUUUUUAACCUACUCUGUAUCAUGGACCUAUUUGGCAGUCUGGUGAAGCCUCUGAUAGACAUUCUUAAAUGCUUAAUAUUAUCAAAGUAAGUCCAAAGACCCCAGGUUGAGAACACUGCUCUAUAAGAGGCCAAUAAAAGCAAGUGGCCCAAUGAUAUCACAACUCUGUGGCUUUUUUAAAAUCCAAAAUAUAUUAAGUGAAAAAGUAUGAAAGCCACUUUGCAUAAUUGGGAAACAAUUAGAAAAAGGCCAAAGUUUGAAUCUCUGCUAGUCACCACAUUAAUAACUUGCGGAAAGAUAAGAAAUAAACCCAGGGUACUACUGCUGUGACUCUCAAGGAAAAGUCAGGAGGCUUUCUAAUUCCAUAUUAAUGUUAGCAGUAAGAUACUAGAUUGUUGGGAAUGUCCCUCCUUCUAAGAGGCUUAGAAGGAUAAGCCCUAGUUUUUAAAGCUGUGGUUUCAUGUAAAAGACAUAAUGACAAGGCCAAAAUUCUAAUUAAGGCAUGUUAAAUUGUUCUGAUUACUAUGUAGCUCAGAAUUCUUUUUUUUAAAUUCCCAUUAAUUACCUUUUACAUUCUCUAGCUUGUGUUCAGCUCCUAUGUUCAGAUAUUUUGCCUCCAUUGAGAAAAUGGAGGUCUUCCUCAACUUUUCCAUUCUUCUCCAUGUUUUAAAACUAAUCUCAACAUUCUUGCAAUCCUUCCCUUUCUGACUCUAAGGAAAUGAAUGUCCUUUUCUCUGCCUUGAUUCCUUUCCUUCCCAUUUUUUCCAGGCUCUUGCAACAGUAAGCCACUUCAUCUAAUGGGUUCAUAUCAAACAUCACAAGGGAAGAACUUAUUCUACAUCUACAGAACCUUACAUCUAUUCUCUUCUAUUCUCACCAUCUCUGGAGUCCAAGACCCCUGGACCAAAAAGUUUCUUAACGUUCUUUCUACCUCCAAUAUUAAUUCUAUCCAUUCUCCAUACAAGUUCAGGGCUGAUCUUCUUUUGCACAAACCAAACCACUUUACUGCUCAAAACCUUUCAAUGACUACGUAAUUUCUUCUGAAUAAUAACUCCAAACUCCUUACACUGGCAUACAAGACUAACAACAAAAAAGAUGCCAACCUCCCUCUGUCCCCUUCACUCAUCCUUUUUAUAAUCUGUGUUAAAGUAAAUGUUUUCUAAUUGAUGCUCUACAAACAUUCCGUAAUUUCCAACCUCCACAUUUUUUUUUCAAGCAGGUUGCUGCAUCCUCCACCCAGCCUACUGUAUGACCCACACUGACUUGCAUUCAAUAAGCAUUUAUUAAUCACACACUCUUUUGCCAGGUACUGUUCCAAGUGCUAGGAUUAAAAAGAGGAGCCCACAUUGUAAUGGGAGAGACAACAAGCAUACAGGAUAUCUGAAACAGCUGAAGAUGCAAGGCUGAAGGGUCAGCAGAAGUCGGAGAGAAGGAUAGGUAGGUAUGAGAAUCAUCAGCACAGAUUAUGAUUAUGAGGUCAUGAAGUGAAACAGUAUAUAAAGGGAAGAGGAGGCAGCCCAGGACAGAGCCCUGUGGGAUAGUUAUGGUUAAUGGGUAUCACCUGGAUAAGGAUCCAGCAAAGGAAACUGAGGAGUCGCCUAGCAGUCUUUAAAGCCCAAAUAGCAACCAAGGCCAUCGUUUAAAUCCACUGAUAGUAAUUACACCUAAAGAGCUUCUGCUUCCUAAUAACAAAGGUUAGGAGUUAACCAUGGAAUUGGGUAUACCAGAUGCCAUUGUAAGAACCCAGGAAUAUCAAAGAAGACAAGAAAAGAACAGGGAGAGUAUCAGAAAAACCAAAGGACUUCUACUAAGGGAUAUACUGCUGAAAAAAAAAAUACAUGGCCUUGGAACUCAUUGGCUUACAUAUAAUGUUUGGAUAAACUAAUCAGUGUUUAAGAACUCUUAAUUUAUAAUCAUCUACUCAACAAAUAUUUCCUGGACACCCUCUCUUCCAGACUGACUACCACAGUUUUAAACCUGGAAAAGAUCUUCUAGCACCCAGCACUUGAGAAGUAUUCCAUGUUGAUCUGACUAGCAUUAUCUAGAGAGAGAAGUGAGACAAGUGCUGGAUUUGGAGUCAGAGGACCUAUAUUCAAAUUCUGGCUCUGCUACUAUAUAACCACAAUCAAUCAAAUUACCUCUUCAGGUCUCAAUUCCUCUUUGGUAAAAUGUGGGGGACAGGCUGGAUGACCUUUAAGUUCUUUUCCAGCUCUAAAUCGAUGAUCCUACAUCAGCUCAAUGUUUGCAAAUGAAGAAACAAAGGACCAGAGAAAUUAAGGGAGCUGCUGAAACUCACAUAAACAGUGAGAGAGCCAAGAUUAGAACCUGGUUCCUGGUGAAAUGUGCUUUCUACUACUCCACGCUCUUACCUCCUAAUUGGGGUCUGAUUAAAGUUGCUUCAUUAUGUGUUUCCUUUUC